UUUGGUUAAGCUACUAAGAGCACACGGAGGAUGCCUAGGCGCUAGGAGCCGAAGAAGGACGUGGCGAACAACGAUAAGGCCUCGGGGAGCUGUAAGCAAGCUUUGAUCCGGGGAUGUCCGAAUGGGGAAACCCGGCUGGUGUAAUAGCCAGUCACUCGUAACUGAAUACAUAGGUUGCGAAGAGGCAGACCAGGGGAACUGAAACAUCUAAGUACCUUGAGGAAGAGAAAACAAGUAGUGAUUCCGUCAGUAGCGGCGAGCGAACGCGGAAGAGCCUAAACCAAGAGGCUUGCCUCUUGGGGUUGUGGGACGUCUCACAUGGAGUUACAAAGGAAUAGGGUAGGCGAAGAGGUCUGGAAAGGCCCGCUAGAAGAGGUAAAAGCCCUGUAACCGAAAGUCUGUUCCCUCCGAGACGGAUCCCGAGUAGUGCGGGGCACGUGAAACCCCGUAUGAAUCUGCCAGGACCAUCUGGUAAGGCUAAAUACUCCCUAGUGACCGAUAGCGAAGCAGUACCGUGAGGGAAAGGUGAAAAGCACCCCGGAAGGGGAGUGAAAGAGAACCUGAAACCGUGUGCUUACAAGAAGUCAGAGCCCUAUGAUAUUUUCCUUCGGAAAAAUCACGGGUGAUGGCGUGCCUUUUGUAGAAUGAACCGGCGAGUUACGUUCCCGUGCAAGGUUAAGGUGAGAAGCCGUAGCCGCAGCGAAAGCGAGUCUGAAUAGGGCGAGUAUAGUACGUGGGCGUAGACCCGAAACCGUGUGAUCUACCCCUGUCCAGGGUGAAGGUGCGGUAACACGCACUGGAGGCCCGAACCCACGAACGUUGAAAAGUUCGGGGAUGAGGUGGGGGUAGCGGAGAAAUUCCAAUCGAACUCGGAGAUAGCUGGUUCUCCCCGAAAUAGCUUUAGGGCUAGCCUCGGUGGUACAGUCGUGGAGGUAGAGCACUGAUUGGGUGCGGGGCCCGCAAGGGUUACCAAGCUCAGUCAAACUCCGAAUGCCAUAGACUGAUUAACCGGGAGUCAGACAGUGAGUGCUAAGAUCCAUUGUCAAAAGGGAAACAGCCCAGACCAUCAGCUAAGGUCCCCAAGUGUGUGUUAAGUGGGAAAGGAUGUGGAGUUGCCCAGACAACCAGGAUGUUGGCUUAGAAGCAGCCACCAUUUAAAGAGUGCGUAAUAGCUCACUGGUCGAGUGACUCUGCGCCGAAAAUGUAACGGGGCUAAACACACCACCGAAGCUAUGGCUUGAAUCGACUUCACUGCUUCUUUGAGGCGGUGAGGCACCGAGACAUUUUUGCCGAAAGCAGCAUCUGAAAUAAUUCAGAGGUUUCGGCCAAAUGCUCCAGGGGCUAGACACAUCACUUCGAAGCUGGAGUGAAGUCGAUUCAGGGGUAGGGGAGCGUUGUGUAUGCGUUGAAGGUGUACCGUAAGGAGCGCUGGAGAGUACACAAGUGAGAAUGCCGGUAUGAGUAACGAAAAGAUCAGUGAGAAUCUGAUCCGCCGAAAGCCUAAGGGUUCCUGAGGAAGGUUCGUCCGCUCAGGGUAAGUCGGGACCUAAGGCGAGGCCGACAGGCGUAGUCGAAGGACAACAGGUGGAAAUUCCUGUACCACCGUAAACCGUUAUGAGCGAGUGGGGUGACGCAGCAGGGUAGUGACGCGGACUGAUGGAUGUCCGUCCAAGCAGUGAGAGGGUAGCAUAGGCAAAUCCGUGCUACAUAACCUUGGGCUGUGAUGGGGAGCGAAAAUUGCAGUAGCGAAGGUCAUGAUCUCACACUGCCAAGAAAAGCCUCUAGCCAGGUGAAGGUGCCCGUACCGUAAACCGACACAGGUAGGCGAGAAGAGAAUUCUAAGGCGCGCGGAAGAACUCUCGUUAAGGAACUCGGCAAAAUGACCCCGUAACUUCGGGAGAAGGGGUGCCUCGGUAGGGUGAAUAGCCCGAGGGGGCCGCAGUGAAAAGGCCCAAGCGACUGUUUAGCAAAAACACAGGUCUGUGCGAAGCCGCAAGGCGAAGUAUACGGGCUGACGCCUGCCCGGUGCUGGAAGGUUAAGGGGAGUGGUUAGGGGUUAAACCCGAAGCUAUGAACUGAAGCCCCAGUAAACGGCGGCCGUAACUAUAACGGUCCUAAGGUAGCGAAAUUCCUUGUCAGGUAAAUUCUGACCCGCACGAAUGGCGUAACGACUUGGGCGCUGUCUCAACGAGAGAUCCGGUGAAAUUUUAAUACCUGUGAAGAUGCAGGUUACCCGCGACAAGACGGAAAGACCCCAUGGAGCUUUACUGCAGCUUGAUAUUGGACUUUGAUACGAUUUGUACAGGAUAGGUGGGAGCCUAGGAAGAGGGAGCGCAAGCUUCCUUGGAGGCGCCGUUGGGAUACCACCCUGAUCGUAUCGGAGUUCUAACCUGGUACCCUAAGCGGGUAUGGGGACAGUGUCAGGUGGGCAGUUUGACUGGGGCGGUCGCCUCCUAAAGAGUAACGGAGGCGCCCCAAGGUUCCCUCAGAAUGGUUGGAAAUCAUUCGAAGAGUGCAAAGGCAAAAGGGAGCUUGACUGCGAGACUGACAAGUCGAGCAGGGACGAAAGUCGGGCUUAGUGAUCCGGUGGUACCGCAUGGAAGGGCCAUCGCUCAACGGAUAAAAGCUACCCUGGGGAUAACAGGCUUAUCUCCCCCAAGAGUCCACAUCGACGGGGAGGUUUGGCACCUCGAUGUCGGCUCAUCGCAUCCUGGGGCUGAAGUAGGUCCCAAGGGUUGGGCUGUUCGCCCAUUAAAGCGGUACGCGAGCUGGGUUCAGAACGUCGUGAGACAGUUCGGUCCCUAUCUGUCGUGGGCGUAGGAAAUUUGAGAGGAGCUGUCCUUAGUACGAGAGGACCGGGAUGGACGCACCGCUGGUGCACCAGUUGUUCCGCCAGGAGCACAGCUGGGUAGCUAAGUGCGGAAGGGAUAAGCGCUGAAAGCAUCUAAGCGUGAAGCCCCCCUCAAGAUGAGAUUUCCCAGUAUGUAAGACCCCUUGAAGACGACGAGGUAGAUAGGCUGGGGGUGGAAGUGCAGCAAUGCAUGGAGCUGACCAGUACUAAUCGGUCGAGGGCUUAUCCAAAA
rnacentral:rRNA from 1 species